ensembl:snoRNA Gm22382 predicted gene, 22382
AGAAUUUGUGUAUGCAUGCUUAUUGAGCUAGUGGGAAGGGGGGAAAUAUAAAAGACAGGUGCAAAAAUGAAUCCUCCUGCAAACCAGAACUCAUUGUUCAGCAUGAGUUUUGAUACCUGUAAGGGGAAAU